CCCCUCUCAGGAUCUCAACCAGAGAGUUUCCAGUACUCUACCAGUCUCGGAUAUGGGAGGGAGAGUCAAGCAGAGUCCUACCCAUUCCAUUCUUAGCUUGGCCAGUGGCUAGCGAGUGGAAGGCAACCUGCUACAAGU